rnacentral:rRNA from 1 species
UACGAAGGGGGCUAGCGUUGUUCGGAAUUACUGGGCGUAAAGCGCACGUAGGCGGGUUGUUAAGUCAGGGGUGAAAUCCUGGAGCUCAACUCCAGAACUGCCUUUGAUACUGGCAACCUAGAGACUGGAAGAGGUUAGUGGAAUUCCCAGUGUAGAGGUGAAAUUCGUAGAUAUUGGGAAGAACACCAGUGGCGAAGGCGGCUAACUGGUCCAGCACUGACGCUGAGAAGCGAAAGCAUGGGGAGCGAACAGG